ACUCCCGGCACAGCUUUCUCUCUUGCUACGGAUUCCCAACUUUCAGCUCCACCUUUGCUUCCCAAUUCGGCCGACAAAACUUCGGGCCAUUUGCUCCGCUCUCCUGAAUUUCUCCGCAGUCCUCUCCUGGGCGCCGCGCUCCUUCCCGCCCUGCCCGCGCGGCCGCCACCGCGACCGCGGCCACCAGCAGCUCCAACCCAGACCUCCAGCGCCCCCGCCCCUCCUUCCCGAGACCACUGGCAGCCGUUGGCGCGCUGGACCCCGCGGCAAUCACCUUCUUCCUCCGCCAUCGUUUCUGCGAAGGCUAGGGCGCCCUGCGGCUCCCGCGCGGCCCAGACUCUCCCUCCCUCCGCGUCGCCGAACCCCUCGGCCUCCGGGGGCCCGCUCCUGGCCGCCGCGCCCCCACUUCCUGACCCACCCCCCUCCGGUGUCGCCGCCAACCGCGUCCCCGCAGGCGGCCCGGGAACCAGAGUGUUGGGAGAGGGGAGCGGCCGGAGCGUUUCGCUGGGGCGCCGGGGCCUGCGCGGGCAGGAAGGAGACUCCACGCCGGGAGUGCAGCCCACAGCUGUAGCUCCUGGCCGCCGCCUGCCCUGGAAAGCGAGACUGGUGGGUCUCGCUGCAGCCCCGCCCCUCGUCCUACUCUUCCCAAAAAGUGAGGGCAUGCUUUCCGCCACUUUUGUGACUCCGCGACUUAGCGAGUCAGAGACGAUCAUCAGCGACACCUCCCAGGUCCAGCCUCCAUUCCCGCCCCAUUUUACAUGGAGGAAACUCAGAUCUAAUGUGGUGGAAGUCACAAAGCCGGUCAGAGGCAGAAGUGGAACCCGGUGCUCCAGAACUGCCAUCGCUGCCUGCGUUCUCGCUGGGAUUUCAGAGUGCAGCAGCAAAACGUUCUCAGUUGGCGCUUUGGUUUCGUAGGCCACUUGACCAUUACAAGAAAGAAGCUUGUGCUUGGAACUUGUUUUAAAUCACCAAAACUGGUUUAGCAAAUAUGUUGCAUUUCAUGAUAUUCUGGGGGGGGGGGCGGGGAGAUAAUACAAUGGUCUGGGGUAGAGCAGUGUGCAAUUAGAUAUUACAGAGCAAUAGGGAAUAAUUUUAAUUUGUUAAACUGUGUUUAACUUUCAUUAUAUCUAGCAUUCUUCAACAAACACCGGGAUCUUUUCCCCAACAGUACUCAGAAGUAAAUUUAGUAAAUGAAAUAUACCCAUUUUAGAUCGGGAGAAACAGGCACGAGAAUUCACUGAAGUCAUGGGGUAAUUAUGGACACCCCAUUAUUAGCAGGCAGCAAGAUUCUCCUAAUAGCACCUUUAAGUUAGGAUAUUUGGGGAGAGGCUAUCAUUUUUCAGUGAUGUGCAGAAACGGUUCCAGGAACUUUUUUUUUUUUUUUUUGAGACAGAGUCUCGCUCUGUCGCCCAGGCUGGAAUGCAAUGACUCGAUCUAGGUUCACUGCAACCUCCGCCUCCCAGGUUAAAGCGAUUUUCGUGCCUCGGCCUUCCCAGUAGCUGGGACUACAGGCGCAAGCCACCACUUAAUUUUCAUAUUUUUAGUAGAGAUGGGAUUUCACCAUGUUGGUUGGCCAGGCUAGUCUCCAACUCCUGGCCUCAAGUGAUCCGCCCACCUUGGCCCCCCGAAGUGCUGGGUUUACAGGUGCCCACCACCACGCCCGGAUAAUUUUUUGUACUUUUAGUAGAGAAGUGGAGGGGUGUGGUUUCACCAUGUUGCCCAGGCUGGUCUUGAAAUCCUGACCUCAAGUGAUCCACCGGCCUCAGCCCCACAAAGUGCUGGGAUUACAGGCAUGAGCUACCACGCAGGGCCUCCAGGAACUCUUUUUAUGUCUGGUUCCCCGUAAAGAUGUUUUUUGCCUUAAAACAACACUUUACCAGGAGUUAGAAACAGUGGACCAGAAAAGGCCUGGUGCCAGAGCCAAGAGAGCACAGAAUAUAAGGACCCUGAAAACCACAGGAUAUGGUAGGGUCCCUGGACAUGAGCAACAGUACCUGAGUAUGCUGCUUAUCAGAUCAGCUGACUGAAAGAGCUGCACCUCUUGGAAAACAUAUAGUAGCUAUUGAGGUCUGCUGUUUUCUAAGUCUAGAGUCUUAAUAUCCUACAGUUUCUUCACGGUCACCUCAAGUUGACUAAUGGACUAAAUUUUAAGUUUGCCUGACCUCUACAAUAACAGGGGAAAGAAAAAUGAUAGAAAAAAAAUAGCUUCUUAAAAUAACAAAUGGAAAUAUAAGAUAAGAUAGAGAUAAUUAUGCCCUAGUAGAAACAUUCUUCUCUUGAACCCUAAAAACCCACAUUAGGGCCGGGCACGGUGGCUCAUGCCUGUAAUCCCAACACUUUGGGAGGCUGAGGCAGGUGGAUCACCUGAGGUCAGGAGUUCGAGACCAGCCUGACCAACAUGGAGAAACCCCAUCUCUGCUAAAAAUACAAAAUUAGCCGGGCGUGGUGGCGCAUGCCUGUAAUCCCAGCUACUCGGGAGGCUGAGGCAGGAGAAUUGCUUGAACCUGGGAGGUGGAGGUUGCGGUGAGCCGAGAUCAUGCCAUUGCAUUCCAGCCUGGGCAACAAGAGCGAAACUCCAUCACACAAAACAAACAAACAAAAAACACAUAAGGAUAAUGAGAGUGGAGCAUCUUAUUCUCAAACCAGUGUAAUCUUACUGUGAGAAAAAUAGGCUGUUUUUAUUAAAAAUCUAUAUUUCAUUCAAGAAGAAUUAGAACCUGAACUACUCAAGAUGUUGCCUUGCAGCAGGCAUUACAGCUGAGUUUUCAGUAGGCCAUUUCCUAAUUCCUAAGGCCAGCUGUUUCCAGAUGGCUAGUGGACAUAUGGUUGUAAGAUGAUUUCAGACGAUACUCUGAUUGUUUUAUCACUGCAAAACCAUGGGCUGCUAGUUUCUUAUGCAAGAUGUGAAGGAGCAUUUCAUUACAUUUUGCGUCACCCUGACCAGUCCUAAAGAACCCAAAUUUUCCCAAAUUGUCUUUUACUUAUGAGCUAUUCAAAGAGCCGUGUGAUUUUCCGCCUUCUCUAGAAGUUUGAGGACCUCUUCUCUAUGCAAUGGAUAUUUUAAGGACAUAAUGUGAAAUGUUCUUUGUUUUAAAAAGUUAAGUCUUUAGCAAAUGUAGUUUAGGAGGCUUUUAUAGUAAACUGAGUAAGAAAAUAAAGGCCUGGUAUGAGGCAAUGAAAAUAAAAAUGUUCAAAGAGAAUGAAUUCAAAAGAUGCUGGAAAUGAAAUCUACAGGGCCUGAUGACAAAUUGGAUGUGAUAAAUGAUGAGUCGAACAUGAUUUCUGAUAUUUCCAUCUUGAAAUUAAUCAUGUGCUUUCCAUGUUCCCAGGAAAAAGUGCUGCCAAGAUGUAAGAACAAUAUAAAACAGAAGGCCUUAAAACUUCUCUACUUGAAACCAAAAAAAUACAUGCAGUCUAUUUUUAAAACAUUCUUCUGAGGCUGAUCGAGGUGGCUCAUGCCUGUAAUCCCAGCUUUUUGGGAGGCCAAGGCCGGCAGAUCGCUCGAGCCCAGGAGUUCAAGACCAGCCUUGGCAACAUGGUGAAGCCCCGCCACUACUAAAAAAUACAAAAAAUAGCUGGGCAUGGUGGCGUGCACCUGUAGUUCCAGCUACCUGGGAGGCUGAGGUGGGAGGAUCACCUGAGCCAAAGAGGUUGAGGCUGCAGUGAGCUGUGAUCAAGCCACUGCACUCAAGCCUGGCUGAGAAUGAGACCCUGUCAAAAAAACAACAGCAGCAAAAAAACAAAAAACAAGAAACAUUAUUCUGGCAUAUGCUUCACCUCAUUAGUAGUAAAAGAACAUAAUUAGUUAGAAAUCCUUGUGUCGGUUCAGCUUCUAUGAAAGAUAUGGAAUUGUGUUUCAUCUUUAUUAUGUAAUAA
rnacentral:lncRNA from 10 species